rnacentral:lncRNA from 1 species
CCCAAAGCGCUGGGAUUACAGGCAUGAACCGCUGCGUCCAGUCACUACUCUUUGGUUCUUAGAGUGGCAAGGGUUCUCCAUCACCCCCAGCCCCAUCACUAUGGCCUUUCUUUGCCUGACUUACAUCUCCUCAUCCUUCCAGAGGCAUUCAUCUCAAAAGGCAUCUUUUCUAGACAUCCUCCUGUUAGGACCGGGGCCCUUCUCUGGGAUCCUAUAGGAGCCAGUGCACAUCUUAACAUUUACCAGAUUAUAAUAAAAUAAUGUUAAUGAAUCUCUCUGCCUCAGUGGACCAUCCUGAGGAUAACUCUCUUUUAUCCAUGUCUGCACCCCUGGCACCUGGUACAGUACCUGACAACUAAGAGGGGUUCGAGCAAUGUUUAUCGAAUACUCAAGAUACAGAAGCUCUGAGAGAAAUGGGGACCUCAGGACAAUGGGAGAAUGGAGACCUGGAAGUGAGAUCUGUGGAGAGUGGGUACUACUCUGUCAGGACCUGUUCCAAUGCCUGGUGGAUGUUGCACAGUCUAGCUGGAUGGUGCAAAGCUUCUAACACUGCUGGGAGUGGUUCCACUUCAAACAAUUCUAGUUUAGAAAGUUUCUUCUGGAGUUGGGCCAAAAUGUAAGCCCCACUAACCUUUACAUGUAGACUCUCACCUAGGAUCCCUUUUGUAUAGAUACUACAGGUCCUGUAUAGAAAUGUCCUAGCUGGAGAGCUGUGCCCUAUUUCUAGGCAUCUGGUGAUGCUAAAGAGGCAGAAUGAGGUCAAGUUUGUGUUAGAGGCUUUCUGAGCUGUCAUUACAGAGCUGCGCAUAGUCCCAGCCUGCAUCCUGCUCUGUGUGACCUCCAGAACACCAGGUGACCCUGAGCCAUAACUUCUUCCUCUGUGAAUAGGGAUGCUGACAUUUUCUUCCUGACUGUGUCGUGUGAGGAUGAAAAGUGAGGAUGUGAGUAAAGCCUCACCUGGCCUUGGUCAAAUCUCAGUGAAAGGUAUCUAUUGAAUUAUUAUUGAAAUAUUAUUAUUGAUAUGGUUUGAAUCUGUAUUUCCCACCCAAAUCUCAUGUUCAAUUGUAAUCCCCAGUGUUGGAGAUGGGGCCUGGUGGGAGGUGAUUGGGACAUGGGGGCAGUUUUUCAUGAAUGGUGUAGCACCAUCCCCUUGGAGCUGUUCUGGUGAUAGUGAGUGAGGUAUCCUGAAAUCUGUUUGUUUAGAGGUGUGUGGCAUCCCCGGCCCACUCUCUCUUCCUCCUGCUCUAGCCAUGUAAGACAUGCCUGCUUUCCCUUUGCCUUCUGCCAUGAUUAUAAGUUCCCUGAGGCCUCCCCAGAAGCAGCCUCUACAUUUUCUGUACAGCCAGCAGAACCCUAAGCCAAC